UGUUAUGGCAGCUGUGCGUGGGACUCCUUCGGGGGUGCCGGGUGCCUAGAGUCCCGGUCGGCCAACCCGCGUACAGUUGCCACCCUA
rnacentral:antisense_RNA from 1 species